rnacentral:tRNA from 1 species
GGGCAGAUACUCAAGUGGUCAACGAGAUCAGACUGUAAAUCUGCUGGCUCCGCCUUCGGAGGUUCGAAUCCUCCUCUGCCCACCA